rnacentral:rRNA from 1 species
UACGGGGGGCGCAAGCGUUGUUCGGAUUUACUGGGCGUAAAGGGCGCGUAGGCGGUCAGCACAAGUCAGUUGUGAAAUCUCCGGGCUUAACUCGGAAAGGUCAACUGAUACUGUGCGACUAGAGUGCAGAAGGGGCAACUGGAAUUCUCGGUGUAGCGGUGAAAUGCGUAGAUAUCGAGAGGAACACCUGCGGCGAAGGCGGGUUGCUGGGCUGACACUGACGCUGAUGCGCGAAAGCCAGGGGAGCGAACGGG